UACGUAGGGGGCAAGCGUUGUCCGGAUUUAUUGGGCGUAAAGAGCGUGUAGGCGGCCAGGUAGGUCAGCUGUGAAAACUCGAGGCUCAACCUCGAGACGCCGGUUGAAACCAUCUGGCUAGAGUCCGGAAGAGGAGAGUGGAAUUCCUGGUGUAGCGGUGAAAUGCGCAGAUAUCAGGAAGAACACCCGUGGCGAAGGCGGCUCUCUGGAACGCAACUGACGCUGAGACGCGAAAGCGUGGGGAGCAAACAGGAUUAGAAC
rnacentral:rRNA from 1 species